rnacentral:rRNA from 1 species
UACGUAGGGGGCAAGCGUUGUCCGGAAUCAUUGGGCGUAAAGCGCGUGUAGGCGGCUCGAUAAGUCUGCUGUGAAAGUCCAAGGCUCAACCUUGGGAUGCCGGUGGAUACUGUCGAGCUCGAGUCCGGGAGAGGGAAGCGGAAUUCCGGGUGUAGCGGUGAAAUGCGUAGAUAUCCGGAGGAACACCGGUGGCGAAGGCGGCUUCCUGGGCCGACACUGACGCUGAGGCGCGAAAGCUAGGGGAGCAAACGGG